UACUUUUUAAAAAUAAAGUUCAUUGGAACCACUUUCAUUUACAUAUUGCGUAUGGCUGCUUUUGCUCUGAGUGGUAGUUGUGACAGAAAUUAUAUGUAAAGAUUAAAGUAUUAUCUGCCCCUUUAUAUAAAAGAAAAUUUUGUUGUCUCCUGUUACUAUUUGUUUGUCAAAGUUAAUUGUCACCUCUUCAGAGAAGUAUCUCCAGUUUCCUAGGAAUUAGUUGUUCUGUUUACUCAACUUCUGGGCACCAUGUUUACUUAAUUGUUAUAUGACUUUUACCAUACUAGUCCCAUUUAUUUUUAUACAUUUCACUCCCUUCUUACCUGACCAGCAUAUGUAAAUAUGUAUCUUGUGCUCAUGUACUUACAGCUUCUUCCUUCCCCUAACCCCCAUGACUAUAAUCUGAGGGCAAAGAGCAUAACUAGUUUUGAUUCACAAAAGACAUUAUGUAUUCAGUAAUUGUUUAGUGCAAGAAUGAUUGGCAUUUUAUAGUGAUAGUUCUGAUUAUAAAUUAAGUGGGAAUUAAAGUUGUGAGUAUAAAUUAAAGUGGGAAUUAGACUAAGGUUUAAAUAUGUUACAUAUUUGGUAUUGUUAUUGUAUCCUUAAUUCAAAACUUGGACUUUUUUCUAAAAGGUUUGAAUAGUCAAAAUGUAAUUUAAUUACUGAAAUAUCCUACAGUUAAUAUGAUCUAUCUGAUCAUAAGGACUUUACUGAUUUUAACUCAGUGAAUUUUAACUCCUUAGCUUCAAAUUUGCAAAUAUAAUUAUUUUGUUUGUUUAUUUAUGACUUAUGAUGAGAACCUUGGAAGCUUUACAAACUCACAUCAAAUGUCAGAGCAGUGGGAAAGCU